GCAUUACAUCGCCCGACAGGGCGCGUUCGCCGCGCUUAUUAUACGUUGCAUCAUAGCGAUGCAUUUCAAUCAAGUUAGAUAAGUCCAGCGAUUCUUACGUAUUCUUGACGCACUCCUUCUGUGCGAUACAUACAGUUUUGUGAUUGGUGUUUUUACUGAACGCACGGUAAUGUACAAAACAAAAAUUUGGUCUUUUGAGCCGGAUAUUCAACGUCCGGAAACUCAGCGCAGCAUCGGCCAAAGGUUGCAGCAGGAUCGAGGUAACAGCGAGAUAACAGAGCAUCUCAAAUUCAAGCGCUAUGCACAAGGCCGAGUCUCCGCGUGCGCCGCCAUUACGGCAUAAGCAUGACGCAUUCCUUGAGAGCGCAACAUUCAAAUGCGAUCCUUCGAUAUCGGGGACUUACAACGGCAGCCGGACGACGCUUCUCCAGAUAACGUCUUUUCCGGACGAUCGCCUUCGGCAGAGGAAUCGCCCGCGCCUGCGUGCGAACGCUGGUGCUUGUUCAUUCUUGCCUGCGUUUUUUGUAUCAAGAACUCGAAUCAAAGCAGUUGAACAAUGGAUUCCAAAAAUAUUCAGACUUUCUAACAUCAAGGGAAGACAUCACUAGACAGUCCGGAAUACAUAAUGUUGCAGGAUGAGGGACCGCUAACGCUGCAGACCUUGAGUAUCCCUACGCUGGAUUUGGAAAAAGUUCUGUCAAAUGGCGUUUUCGGGUCCCAAAUUAGGCAAAGAAGUUCCGAAGAAAAAUCAAAUCACAAGUAUUACAAUGACUGUACGGUUGAACGAGAAUUGCAGUUAUUAAAGCCUUUUAGGAAGAAUGAAACGACGGUGUGAUUCUAGUGGUGUUAUUGAGGAUGCGAAAAGAACUGUUUAAAAUUCUAUGACCAAGGAUGGUUAUACUGAUAAAAAAUUUUUACUGGGAUAAAAGAUGAAUUUUGAAUGGAAAUAGAGAAGCAUUGCUUUUUUUCAUCGCAGCAUUAUCUGACCACACAUUUACUUAAUUUCUAAAUACAGGACCAUUGUAUUUAUAAAGGUCACUUCGCUGAAGUGCCGUGCUUGAUUGUGAUUAGACGUAAGACUCGUUAGAGACUUGUCCGUAUUAUGAAAUAUAAGUAAAAUAAAAGAGACUAUAAUGACAUACCGGAAAUGGGAGUCGCGCAACAGAGAUACUCGCGAACAAGUAUUGCAAAGAUAUUUUUAAUCUGCCAUUUGUCGUAGCUUUUAAAUAAAUUACUUCUCUACUACUACUUUCUUGAGGAUAUAAACAAUAUUCUAGGACUUAAUUCGCAACGACAGCGUCAAUAUCGUCUUUGCUUAUUAGCUUGUCUUUAAGACUAUAUUAAGGCAUUUGGACCCUCCUAUCGCAAAAGAAAGUCUUUAUAUAAAUGUAUAAAAUGGUACAAAAUGGUAGAAAACGACAUAUAAAUAAUUUUACUUGUUUGACUAAAUCUUUUUAUAUUUGUCUUUGUAACAAUAACUUUAUUAUUAUAUAUAAUACGUGUUAUAAAUAAUACAGCUCAAUUUUUUCGAAGUAAUAAAAUUAUAAAUGAUCUUUAUAAAUUUUAUAAGCUUAAAUCGAUCUUUUCCUUAUUAGUUAUUUUUACAAAGAUAUCUAUACACUCUAAAACUUAAUAUUCACAAUGACGGUAUCAAUUUUUUAAUAAACUUAAUUAAAAAUAUGGAGUAAUAUGUUUUUCACACAAAAAUUAAAUUUUAUAAUUGUAAAGUUAAAAAGAUUAGAACGCAAAGUAUCAGAAAAUCAGUGACCAUCUGAACUCCAAAAAAUUCAUAAAAGUUCAAAUGCGAGAUUCGGUGGAAACAAAAGACAUAUUUUCAAAGUAAAUUAUAUUUAAAGAAUGCUUUGCGAGUUCUUUGCCACGCACCUCUUCAGAAUAACAAAUAUCUGCUUUAUUUUUCUUGAAGUAAAUGUUGGAGUCAUCUUGAUGCGCAUAUUUUGCCAUUUUUUUCUAAGUGUGAGGAACAAAUUAGCCAGUCAAUGGAUCAAUCUUUUCGUUAUAAAACAGUCCACGUGAAAAGACUUAAAUUCCUUUGUCAACACCGUUUGUAUAAAAUCGAGAUCGACAAUUAUCAAAUUUGAUGUAAAAAAUGUAUACAUUCCGAAAGCGCCAUGAUUUUUAUAUUUCAAGUAGGCAUCGUGGAAGAAUACGCCGAAAAAUCGCAGAAACGAAUAAAAAAAGUUUUGUCAAUAGGCAUAUUUUUCAAUGAUGCUUAUUCGAAAUGUAAGAAACAUCGCGCUUUUGGUAUAUAUACAUUUUUUACACCGAAUUUGAUAAUCGUCGGUCUUGAUCUUAUACGAACGGAGUUGACAAAGGAAUUCCAGUCUUUUCAUGAUCGUGGACUGUAUUAUAACGAAAAGGUUGGUCCAUUGACUGACUAAUUUGUUCUUCACACCUAAAAAAAAAAUGGCGAAAUAUGCGCAUCAAGAUGACACCAAAAUUUACUUUAGAAAAAAUAAAGCAGAUGUUUAUUAUUCUGAAAGAGUGGCGAAAAACUCGCGAAGCAUUCUUUAAAUAUAAUUUGCCUUAAAAAUAUAUCUUUCAUUUCAAUAGAAUCUCGCAUUUAAGCUUUACUCUGGAGAAUAAAGCUUAAAUGCGAAAUUCUAUUGAAAUAAAAGAUAUAUUUUUAAAGCAAAUUAUAUUUAAAGAAUGCUUUGCGAGUUUUUCGCCAUUCCUUCAGAAUAAUAAACAUCUGCUUUAUUUUUUCUGAAGUAAAUUUUGGUGUCAUCUUGAUGAGCAUAUUUUGCUAUUUUUUUUUAGGUGUGAAGAACAAAUUAAUGAAUCAAUGGAUCAACCUUUUCGUUAUAAUAUAGUCCACGAUCAUGAAAAGACUUGACUUUCUUUGUUAAUUCCGUUUGAAAAAGAUAAAAAUCGGCGAUUAUCAAAUUUGGUGUAAAAAAUGUAUAUAUACCAAAAGCGCGAUGUUUCUUAUAUUUUGAGUAAGCAUCUUUGAAGAAUACGCCUAUUGACAAAACUCUUUUUCGCGUAAAUACAAUAUAUUUAAAAAAACCGUUAUUUGAUUAAAGUUUUUCAAACGACAAGAAAUAGAAACUCUCUUAAUUAGAAGGUAAAAAUAGAUGGCUUAAAGAUACUGUAAGUUCCCACAAGAGUAAGUGAGAUAGAGAUAAAGAGAGAUACUCCGCGUUAUCUCACUCUAGAGGUUUUCCAACUGUAAUACGGCAAUGUUCUCUUUUCGAUUAUUUUCUGUAAAGACUUCGACUGUGGUUAUUUGUCAGGAAACGAAUAAACAGUUUAUGUUGAAUC